GACGAACGCUGGCGGCGUGCUUAACACAUGCAAGUCGAACGGAAAGGCCCUGCUUUUGUGGGGUGCUCGAGUGGCGAACGGGUGAGUAACACGUGAGUAACCUUCCCUUGACUUUGGGAUAACUUCAGGAAACUGGGGCUAAUACCGGAUAGGAGCUCCUGCUGCAUGGUGGGGGUUGGAAAGUUUCGGCGGUUGGGGAUGGACUCGCGGCUUAUCAGCUUGUUGGUGGGGUAGUGGCUUACCAAGGCUUUGACGGGUAGCCGGCCUGAGAGGGUGACCGGCAACAUUGGGACUGAGAUACGGCCCAGACUCCUACGGGAGGCAGCAGUGGGGAAUAUUGCACAAUGGGCGGAAGCCUGAUGCAGCAACGCCGCGUGCGGGAUGACGGCCUUCGGGUUGUAAACCGCUUUCGCCUGUGACGAAGCGUGAGUGACGGUAAUGGGUAAAGAAGCACCGGCUAACUACGUG
rnacentral:rRNA from 1 species